GACGAACGCUGGCGGCGUGCUUAAUACAUGCAAGUCAACUGAACUUAAGGUAGCAAUAUUUUAAGGGAGGUGGCGCACGGUGAGUAACACGUAGGUAAUCUGCCUUUAGGUCUGACACAACCUACCGAAAGGUAGGCUAAUAUCAGAUGAUGCAGCGGCUCGACAUCGAGACAGUUGUUAAACCUUCGGGGCCUAAAGAUGAGCCUGCGUCUGAUUAGGUAGUUGGCGGAGUAAUAGCCCACCAAGCCUGCGAUCAGUAGCUGGUCUGAGAGGAUGAUCAGCCACACUGGAACUGAGACACGGUCCAGACUCCUACGGGAGGCAGCAGUAAGGAAUAUUGCUCAAUGGCCGAAAGGCUGAAGCAGCAACGCCGCGUGGAGGAUGAAAUACUUUGUAUGUAACU
rnacentral:rRNA from 1 species